GACGAACGCUGGCGGCGUGCUUAACACAUGCAAGUCGAACGGAAAGGCCCUGCUUUUGUGGGGUGCUCGAGUGGCGAACGGGUGAGUAACACGUGAGUAACCUGCCCUUGACUUUGGGAUAACUUCAGGAAACUGGGGCUAAUACCGGAUAGGAGCUCCUGCUGCAUGGUGGGGGUUGGAAAGUUUCGGCGGUUGGGGAUGGACUCGCGGCUUAUCAGCUUGUUGGUGGGGUAGUGGCUUACCAAGGCUUUGACGGGUAGCCGGCCUGGGAGGGUGACAGGCCACAUUGGGACUGAGAUACGGCCCAGACUCCUACGGGAGGCAGCAGUGGGGAAUAUUGCACAAUGGGCGGAAGCCUGAUGCAGCAACGCCGCGUGCGGGAUGACGGCCUUCGGGUUGUAAACCGCUUUCGCCUGUGACGAAGCGUGAGUGACGGUAAUGGGUAAAGAAGCACCGGCUAACUACGUG
rnacentral:rRNA from 1 species